GGGGCUGACUUGGUUUCGACAUUUAGAAAUCGUUAAAGUAUGAUACAGGUCGAAGUUUGAAUUCUUCGUAAAAAAAUCUCAACUCAAAAUAAAUGCUAACAAUAUUAUCUCUUUCAUGUUUAAAGCAAUAACUAAUAUUAUGAAAACAAAGCAAAACGCUUCACCUUUAUUAAGCUACGCAGUUUAAUUUUAUUCUCAUAAUAUUUUUGAUUAAAAAUCUUUGUUCACUAUAACUAGACUUUUGUCUUCUUUAUAGUUUAGACUAAUUUUAAUUAUUAUAACUCGUUCAAGUUUUUUUGAACUAAACCUGUGAAUGAGUACAUUAAUGAAAUUUAGAUGGACGUGGGUUCGACUCCCAUCAGCUCCA
rnacentral:tmRNA from 1 species